AAUCCUUUCUCUUACAGAGAGAAACCUAAGAACUAGAGAAGAGGAGAGCUUGGAAUGAUUGUGAAAUUAUAGCAUCAAGAGUUGUAUGAAUAUGAAACUUCUCCUUUCCUCUAUUCUCUUCUUUCUCUCGAAUAAUUUUUGGUUUAUCUUUCUCAAACCAAAUUCAGGGAUAAACUUUUCUAGAGAUUGGUGAGAAUAGGGGUGAGUUAGAGAAUCGUCAAAGGAAUUAUUGUUGGUUUGCAAGCAAAGAACAAUAGGACAAUCAGGUGUCGUUUGCUACUGAAAAACUUGGACAAAGUGCGACUGAAUUCCGAGAACAGAAAUUUUGCAUAAAUAUGGGAUGUUGGUUAUGUUGUAGUUAGUUUACAUAUGUGCAUACAUAUUUGAAUUGAUCAUAAUUUUGCAAGCUCGGUUUGAAAACAUGUCCAUCUCAGUGGACUUGUUUAAGUUGAUUAGAAGUAAUGUUUGGUGGUUCCAAGCUAUAUUUUAUGUAUGCAUAAGCAUGAAGGUGUUUGAGAGGUUGCAUUCUAAUUUGUUAUAGUCUUCUGCUUUGUACUAGUUUCUAAUGCUUCAAAGGGAAGUACAAUAACUCGCCGAAAUAAAUAAUAAGGCUUGGCGUUGUGUAGAAUGUAUGGGCAUCUAUCGAUAUAAAAUCUUGUGGUACUAUUUCGCUAAAAAUGACGAAGGGUUUGGGUCUACUUAAGUCUUAUGGUUAUCAUGCUGUGGCGAUUAGUGGUUGGAUGAACAAUAAAAUGGUAAGGACUUUAUACUCACAAUUGCAUGUCGAAUAUCAUAGGUUGUGAAUAACUUGCAUGGUGAUCCUUGAGCUUGGUAUCAGGACAAUUUAUUGUGAAUAUCUGUACAAUGAUGAGUUGUAUCAGGACAAUUUAUUGUGAAUAUCUGUACAAUGAUGAGUUGUAUAUGUGGACGGAAUAUGUAUAAUCAUAGAUCCAGUUGCCGGAAAGUAGCAACUUUCAA